rnacentral:rRNA from 1 species
GACGAACGCUGGCGGCGUGCUUAACACAUGCAAGUCGAACGGAAAGGCCCUGCUUUUGUGGGGUGCUCGAGUGGCGAACGGGUGAGUAACACGUGAGUAACCUGCCCUUGACUUUGGGAUAACUUCAGGAAACUGGGGCUAAUACCGGAUAGGAGCUCCUGCUGCAUGGUGGGGGUUGAAAAGUUUCGGCGGUUGGGGAUGGACUCGCGGCUUAUCAGCUUGUUGGUGGGGUAGUGGCUUACCAAGGCUUUGACGGGUAGCCGGCCUGAGAGGGUGACCGGCCACAUUGGGACUGAGAUACGGCCCAGACUCCUACGGGAGGCAGCAGUGGGGAAUAUUGCACAAUGGGCGGAAGCCUGAUGCAGCAACGCCGCGUGCGGGAUGACGGCCUUCGGGUUGUAAACCGCUUUCGCCUGUGACGAAGCGUGAGUGACGGUAACGGGUAAAGAAGCACCGGCUAACUACGUG